CUACGGGUCGCUGCAGUGAGGAAUAUUGGUCAAUGGGGGAAACCCUGAACCAGCGACGCCGCGUGUGGGAUGAAUGGGCUCUGCCCUGUAAACCACUGUUGAGAGGGAAGAAAAGCUUCUUAUGGAAGCCGGGACUGUACCUCUUCAGAAAGGAUCGGCUAACUACGUGCCAGCAGCCGCGGUAAUACGUAGGAUCCAAGCGUUGUCCGGAAUUACUGGGUGUAAAGGGUGCGUAGGCGGGCUUGUGCGUCAGGGGUUAAAUCCCACGGCUUAACCGUGGAGCUGCCCUUGAUACGGCAAGUCUUGAGUGUGAGAGAGGAUGGUAGAAUUCCUGGUGUAGCGGUGAAAUGCGUAGAUAUCAGGAGGAAUACCAGUGGCGAAGGCGGCCAUCUGGCUCACUACUGACGCUGAGGCACGAAAGCGUGGGGAGCGAACAGGAUUAGAUACCCCUGUAGUC
rnacentral:rRNA from 1 species